rnacentral:rRNA from 1 species
GACGGAGGAUGCAAGGGUUAUCCGGAAUCACUGGGCGUAAAGCGUCUGUAGGUGGUUCAAUAAGUCAACUGUUAAAUCUUGAGGCUCAACUUCAAAAUCGCAGUCGAAACUAUUAAACUAGAGUAUAGUAGGGGUAAAGGGAAUUUCCAGUGGAGCGGUGAAAUGCGUAGAGAUUGGAAAGAACACCAAUGGCGAAAGCACUUUACUGGGCUAUUACUGACACUGAGAGACGAAAGCUAGGGUAGCAAAUGGG